GGCGAGAUGCCUGAGCGGUCCAGGGCGCCAGACUAGGGUUCAGCGCUGUCUGAAGUGCAGUGCAUCUGGUCCUCCGGGGCGUGGGUUUAAAUCCCACUCUCGUUG